rnacentral:rRNA from 1 species
UACGUAGGGUGCGAGCGUUGUCCGGAAUUAUUGGGCGUAAAGGGCUCGUAGGCGGUUUGUCGCGUCGGGAGUGAAAACCAGCUGCUUAACACCUGGCUUGCUUUCGAUACGGGCAGACUAGAGGUAUUCAGGGGAGAACGGAAUUCCUGGUGUAGCGGUGAAAUGCGCAGAUAUCAGGAGGAACACCGGUGGCGAAGGCGGUUCUCUGGGCAGUAACUGACGCUGAGGAGCGAAAGCGUGGGGAGCGAACAGG